rnacentral:misc_RNA from 1 species
UCCGAGUUGACCCCGGCAGUCUCCUGCGAGUCCCCGCCAUUACGCGCUGGCAACACAGGACAAGGGUUGCGCUCGUUGCGGGACUUAACCCAACAUCUCACGACACGAGCUGACGACAGCCAUGCACCACCUGUGAUCCUGCCCAAAAGGGAAGCCGUGUUUCCACGGCGGUCAGGAACAUGUCAAACCCAGGUAAGGUGGGGAUGACGUUAGCCUAUCGAGA